rnacentral:rRNA from 1 species
AGAGUUUGAUCCUGGCUCAGAACGAACGUUGGCGGCGUGGAUUAGGCAUGCAAGUCGAACGAAUCCCCGGGGGCAACUCCGGGGGGAAGUGGCGAAAGGGGCAGUAAGGCAUGGGUAACCUACCCCGGGGACCGGGAUAGCUCUCCUAACGGAGGGGUAAUACCGGGCGACCUGGCGAGGCGGCAUCGUCUUGCCAGCAAAUGAAUCUCGCCCUGGGAGGGGCUCAUGUGCUAUUAGCUUGUUGGCGGGGUAACGGCCCACCAAGGCGAAGAUGGCUAGCGGGUGUGAGAGCACGACCCGCGCCACUGGCACUGUGACACUGGCCAGACUCCUACGGGAGGCUGCAGUCGAGGAUCUUCGGCAAUGGGCGCAAGCCUGACCGAGCGACGCCGCGUGUGCGAUGAAGGCCUUCGGGUUGUAAAGCACUGUCGAGGGGGAGGAAAGCCCGCAAGGGCCUGACCUAUCCCUGGAGGAAGCACGGGCUAAGUUCGUGCCAGCAGCCGCGGUAAUAC